UUCUGGAGAGUCCAGACUGUAGACUGGAGACUCUGGAGUUGAGUUACUGCAGUUUGUCAAAGAUCAGCUGCGAUUCUCUGGUCUCAGCUCUGAAGUCCAACCCCUCCCAUCUGAAACAUCUGGACCUGAGACACAACAACCUGAAUUAUUCAGAUGCGAAGCAGCUUCUUGGUCUUGUGGAGAGUCCAGACUAUAAACUGGAGAAUCUGAGGCCACAGCCAUGGAGGGCAACAUGAGGGUGUGUGUUGUGAGAGGUUAAGCUGUGUCCUGAUGAUCCAGAGGUUGAGGCAGACUCUGACUGGACCAUGUUACUGGGAGGUGGAGAGGAGAGUUUCGUCCACAUAGUCUCCAUUUAAGACCAUCAACAGAGCUGCACUUCAACUCUUCACAGAGCUCCAACAAAUCAAGUCCAGUCCCUCGUGAAUGAUUCAGACACAUGUCAACCUGCCAGCAUCAACAGUUCUUCCCGAUGUUGUGGAGGCGUUUGUUCCAUGUCUUCUCUUCUCUCACCACCUCGUAACCAUCAGCGAUCAAUAAAUUGACCUUUGUUUACCGAUACAACACAUCCAAGAUCGAAGAUACAACAAACUCCUCUAAUUUAAAUUCCAUGUUGAUGAGCAACACCUAACAGCCACAGCAGAAACCAAACUGUUAACCUAAGCAGCCUUCCACCAACUCCUCACUCCCAAAUCACUGCACAGUUACAGCAAUAAACCAUCAAAGACACUGUUGUAUAUUGAUGUGCUGAAGAAAGAAGUGAUCACCGCUUACAAGUCUUAUCUUGCAUUUAAAAAGGUUUAUUUACAAGAAAGAACGAUGUCAAAAACACUGCCGAAUCUGAGAGGGCUUCCGGCCAAUCGUCGAAUCCCCUCUCCCAUUCAGCUCCUACAGACCCCUUAUAUAUGUUUCUCAUCCUUAAGAGCCCCCAUUCACAAACAAAACUUAUCUCCUUAUGUGUAGCAGUUUUACGGGCUGACAACUGGUACAUUACCCUUUAACCUUUAAACUUUAUAUAGACAUCCCCAAAACAGAAAACAGAUGCUAAGAACAAAUGGAGAGGACCAUAUACUACAACACAACAAUGAGUCCACCAAGGCUACAAAACAACAAAGGUAGCCCCUGGCCCCAGGUCUUUAAAGGACUGGCCUCCAGCCGCCAGGCCCCCAAAUGAUGCUACGAGCCCGUUAACUGGUUCUCAACAAACUGAUCUGACACAACAAAUACAUUCAUGAACCUUUAUACAUCUCGACAACAUCAUAGCAUCAGUGUGUGAACAUUCCCUCUACAAAGGUCCAGAGUUUUAGGACUUGGUUUAGACCUUUGAGGAACCAUCUGAAUAUUCAGUAUCAAUAAUAUUGAACCAGACCUCUGUAUAUUUGUGUAUUGUGUAUUUGCUCUACGUCAGCAGCCUGUGGAUACAACAGGUUUUAUCUCUAAACUGAUUCUAUGAAUUGAGUCAAUGAGUGGAGUCAAUAGAGUUCAGCUACACUCACCAGCAUGAGAUUAACUGCACUGUUAGUCAGUCAGAAUCAGCAGGGCAUCGGCCUGUUACCUACAUCAAGCCUAUAGAAAAACCUGGAAGGGUUUGAGUGUUGAUGUUUCUAUGGGUGUGGCUUCACUAUCAGACACGGUAAAAGAACUUUUACAUCUAUGGUUUGAUGAAGUCAUGUGUAGCUGGUGUUCCUUAGCUCAUAUCUCCCUGAUACUUUGAUGGACAGAGGUUUGAUGGAUAUGUCAGGAGUCUGUGGACUGUGCUUUGUUUUAAGAUGUUGUAAGUGUGAAUUGCAUAAAGAUCCACAGCAGUAGAUCCAGAAAAGAGUGGGUUGACUGGGUGGAGCUGGAGGACUUUGAUAUUUGGUCAUUCAUUGAGUUGUGUUUGAGCUGUGUUUGGAGUAUCAGUGUCAUUGGAUGUGGACAGUUGUAGUUCCUCACAGUGACCACUUCAGGGCAGUGAACAUUAUAGUCAAUUGGCUUAAUGCAGUUCAUGACUCCACCACCAGAGGGAAACAAAUGUCUAGCACUGUAGUCAUUUUUUUUUCUUUUUUUACAGUGUAUUUCCUUAUUUUGUAUUUUUUUAACUAAUCUUUUUUGUGUUUGUUUGUUUUUUGUUUUUUUUUUACAGUGUAUUCCUUAUUGGUCAUUUAUUUUUUAACAGUGUACUUUCUGAUAAAUAAAUAUUGUGCAUUUCUUAUUGGUAUUUUUCUCACAAUGUAUGACCCGGAAAUGUGCAGUCCCCUCCGCCAACUUCAUGACUGGCGUACGCUGGUUUCCUUGUUCCUUGGCAACACUAAGAGGCAAUCAUGAGGAACUGUCAAGAAUUGGGAAAUCAAGUAAUCCUCAGAGCGAUGUGCACAUCAGUGACACAUUAAUGCACAAUUAUUAUACAUGGGUUUGCAACUAUGGAUGGAUAGAAAAGCAUGAGCAAAGUGAUGAAGAAAAUGGUGUUAACAAUGGCAGCCUUGGCUUUGUUGGAAGACCGAAAAUGGUAACAUUAGGUGAGACAGAGUGUUUAGAGAACAUGAAGAUCUACUCACAAAUGACAACAACUAGCUCAUGAGUCGUUCCCAGCAGACCCGCACUAUUGGUUUGUGCCUACCAGGUCUGCAUGGCAUCUUCCCCUGCCACCUGAUCCAACUCACCACCAGGCGGUGAUCUGUUGACAGCUCUGCUCCUCUCUUCACCCGAGUGUCCAGAACAUACGGCCGCAGGUCAGAUAUGACUAUACUACAAAGUCGAUCAUCGAUCUACGACCUAGGCCGUCAUGGUGCCAAGAGCACCAAUGAACAACCUAUGUUUGAACAUGGUGUUAGUUAUGGACAAACUGCGACUUGCACAGAAGUCCAAUAACUGAACAACGCUCGGGUUCAGAUCAGGCAGGCUGUUCCUCCCAGUCACGCCCCUCCAGGUCACGCUGUCAUUGCCCAUGUGAGCGUUGAAGUCCCCCAGAAGGACAGUGGAGUCGUCAGUCGGGACAGAAUCCAGCGUCUGACCUAAGGUCUCCAAAAAGGGCGAGUACUCUUCCCUGCUGUUCGGCGCGUAUGCGCAAACAACAGUCAGGACCCGUUCCCUGACCCAAAGGCGCAGGGAAGGAACCCUGUUGUCAAUCUGGGAGAACUCCAACAUACAGACGGAGAGUCUUGGGGCAAGCAAAAAGCCCACCCUGGCCUUCUGCCUCUCACCCGGAGCAACUCCAGCAAAGAAGAAUUUCCAACCCCUCUCAAGGAAUUGGGUUCCGGAGCCGACACUGUGUGUCAAGGUGAGGCCGACUUUCUUUAGUGCAUAUCAGAGUUUCAAACUGACUGCAAGCAAGACAAAGAUCACACUUGAACAGAGCUUUGUUCAUCAGUUU